GGGAGGAAGAGGGGGACAUUUCAAAAGGGAACCGGAUAGAGGGACGGACCGGACGAAUGAAUCGCGAGCUGGGGAUGCUGCUAGCAGUUAAUAAAACGGGAAUUAUACGCCGAUCUCGUCCGGAUUUCGUUUCUGCGAGCACUUUAUUAGUCUCCGAAUCAUCAACCUUAUGCAAAGCUUUACAUAUAUAUGUCGUCCUCGCGUGUGUCCUUAUGUUUCGAUGAUGAAGAAUAUAAUAAAAAGAAAAAGAAGAAGAAGAAGUUAAGAUUCUACGUAGAAUUCUAAUUCCUCUAAUGGAUGAACAAACCAAAGAAGAGAAUCAUCGUAAUACACAAUCAUCAUCAAACCAGAUUCCUCUAAUGGAUGAACAAACCAAAGAAGAGAAUCAUCGUAAUACACAAUCAUCAUCAAACCAGGAUUCCUCUAAUGGAUGAACAAACCAAAGAAGAGAAUCAUCGUAAUACACAAUCAUCAUCAAACCAGGAUUCCUCUAAUGGAUGAACAAACCAAAGAAGAGAAUCAUCGUAAUACACAAUCAUCAUCAAACCAGGGAUGGUCAUCAUCAUCUUCUCAGAGUUUCGACCAAAGCAACCACCCUGCAGAUUCUGAGAGGUUCGUCUGAAAGCAGGAUAUGGGGUUGGUCCUAGAAAGUGCAGAAGGGGGUGGAAGAGGAGGAGGAAGCUUGGUCAACAUUUGAGCAGAGAGAGAGAUAGAGAGAAAAAAAUAGAAAAAAA
rnacentral:lncRNA from 1 species